rnacentral:lncRNA from 13 species
AAUAGUAGAGAUGGUUCCCUGACAGGGAAGAGAGGUGUAUCUAGCUCUUGUACCGAGGACCAUAGAGGUGUAUCUAGCUACUGUACUGAGGACCAUAGAGGUGUAUCUAGCUACUGUACUGAGGACCAUAGAGGUGCAUCUAGCUACUGUACUGAGGACCAUAGAGGUGUAUCUAGCUACUGUAAUGAGGACCAUAGAGGUGUAUCUAGCUACUGUACUGAGGACUAUAGAGGUGUAUCUAGCUACUGUACUGAGGACCAUAGAGGUGUAUCUAGCUACUGUAAUGAGGACCAGCCAGGACCAUAGAGGUGUAUCUAGCUACUGUACUGAGGACCAUAGAGGUGUAUCUAGCUACUGUACUGAGGACCAUAGAGGUGCAUCUAGCUACUGUACUGAGGACCAUAGAGGUGUAUCUAGCUACUGUAAUGAGGACCAUAGAGGUGUAUCUAGCUACUGUACUGAGGACUAUAGAGGUGUAUCUAGCUACUGUACUGAGGACCAUAGAGGUGUAUCUAGCUACUGUAAUGAGGACCAGCCAGGACCAUAGAGGUGCAUCUAGCUACUGUACU